CAGCAGCCGCGGUAAGACGGAGGGUGCUAGCGUUGUUCGGAAUCACUGGGCGUAAAGGGCGCGUAGGCGGCCUGUUAAGUCGGAUGUGAAAGCCCGGGGCUCAACCCCGGAACUGCAUCCGAGACUGGCAGGCUUGAGACCGGGAGAGGAGGGUGGAAUAUCCAGUGUAGAGGUGAAAUUCGUAGAUAUUGGAUGGAACACCGGUGGCGAAAGCGGCUCUCUGGCCCGGAUCUGACGCUGAGGCGCGAAAGCGUGGGGAGCAAACAGGAUUAGAUACCCCUGUAGUCCCUGUCUCUUAUAC
rnacentral:rRNA from 1 species